CAAAAGAGCACCAAAAGAUCCAAAAUUUCAACAUUUUUAAGGUAAAAAAUUAUACCAAUCAAACACAUUUAAUUGACAACUCCACGAAAACAAAUUCUAGACAAUUCAAUUCCCUGAAAUUUGUUUUCUUUUCACCCAAAUUGCACUCUUACAAUCAAACGGACCCUUAGAUCUGUGAACAUUCAAAGAUUUGAUGAAAAGGUCCGUCAAUUGGUUUUUAGUAGAAACAUGCUCAAUAUGAUUAAUUAGUUCAUUCUUUUUAACCCCAAACAUUCUUGAAAGAAGAGAUUUUCUUUGUCAAGUGCGUCAUCAAUUCAGUCAAGUGAUUGACUUGUUAAGAGUUUAACCUGAUCAAUUAUAUUGUUUGUCAUUCCUAAUCAAGAGUUUACGACACCUAGGUCUUGUGUGACCUAACUAUACACAUUUGAAACACGUAGGAAUGGACCUAGGAACAAUACUUGGUUUUAAGUUUUGAAAUUUAGGCUGUGGAAUCCUAUGAUGCACUAAUGAUCUUCUUUCUUGGGUAUCUUUACUCUUAGGUUUACUGACUUCUACCUUCUUCGUUUAGUAGAUGCAGGUACAAUGAUUGUUUUAGAAGAGGUAGUAUCAUGAAAAUUGAUUCCAUUAUAAACCAAACCUCCAUUAUUUAUUGCAGACAUGUUCAGUCUUAAAAUGUUGUCAAGCUUCUUAGACCCACCAUAGAAAGUACGAAGCUGUGCAUUGGAUUUAUCAAGUUUACUCUAGUGUCUUGACUUUAUUUUCUAAGACUCCUCAACAUUCAAGUUCAGCUAAAAGAUUUCCUUCUCUGACUUAAUAACAGGCCGCUUUUUAAAGGCAGGCCUAUUUAACUUCUUCAAAUUAAGACUCUCCUCAAAUAACUUAUCAUAAACCUCUUGGGGAGUGAAGGGAUAGGUGAAACAGGAGAGGGUGGAAGAACCAGUGAAAGUAAUGCAUAAAAUAAAACCCCUCUAUUUUUCUAUUUUGAUUUUCGCAAUUAGAUGAAAACAAUAAAGGUUUAAAUCUUACCUUACAUCAGUUAUUUUAUCCAUCUCAUGAAAAAAUGAGGUUUCUUUCCUUUUUUUGGUGAUCUAUUUAUCUGAGAUCUUUUUCACUGUUAGACUCUCCCUAUGACGAUUCAGUUUGCUCUAAAUUCUCGAUCUUACCAUCACUCUUCUCACUUUCACAUUCCACAAUGGAAGUAAGAGCCAUGUAGUGCCAACUAUCCAUGAAUAUUGAAGUCUCACUUUGAUUCUCAAAACUAGACUCAUUGUGAGUGACAUUCAUUGCCUUUCCUAAGUCUUCUUAUAACUUAAGACACUUAGCUCUAAUGUGUUCAAAUCCCUGACAUUCAUGACACCUAACAUUUUGAGAUUUCUUUUUGGCAUAUCUAGUAUCUUUCUUCUCUCUUAUCUUUCUUGUAUUUACUAGGACAAACUUCUCAGGAAGUCCUUUAUUAGUCCUUUUUAUUUUUUAUUUUUUUGAAUUUCUUAGCAAAUAUGCUACCUUCUCAUCUGAUAGAGUCUCAUCAUCAGUCUUGUUACAAUUCUCUUCCUUGACAAUGUUGAGGGUAAUUGACUUGUUUUCUUAUAUUGAGGUAGGUUAAGCUCAUAGGUUUGGAGAGAACCCAAAAUUUCUUCUAUUUUAACGUGAUUUAGGUCUUUAAUUUCCCAAUAGCUGUGACUUUCAGUGUAAACCUUUAAGGUAUUGCUCUUAAAACCUAACUAUUCUGGUCUCUGGAUUUGUUCACCUAGAUCAUUCAGUUUGGCAUAGAAUUAACCAAAGGAUUUGUCAUCCUUCAUUCUAAUUUCCUUAUAUCUACUGGCCAACAUUUGUAGCUUAAAGUUCUUCACAAUUUUAGUUUCUUCAUGUGUGGUUUCAAGAAUGUCCUAAGCUUCUCUAGAAAGUCUCACACAUGGAAACAUGUUUCAACUCAUCAUAUGAGAUAGCCUUAAAGAUGGCAUGAACACCUUUGUUAUUGAGAUUACACUCAACUAAUUCAUCUUUAUACCAAGUGGGUAUAUUCCUAGAUUUAUCAACACCAUCGACUCUUAAAGAAGGGAUUGUCCAACUGCGUUUCACACUCACCCAAACUUGUUCAUCCAAGAAUUUCAAGAAAGCUCUCAUCCGAACCUUCGUGGACGCAUAAUUGCUCCCAUCAAAGUAUGGAAGGAUAGAUAAAGACUAUCUAGUACUCAUCUAAAUCGUUUUGGGUCAAGAAUUGAAAUCAGGCUUUGAUACCAAUUCAAAAAUGAUGUUUCACCUACUUUACACCUAGAAGGAGUGAAUAGGUCAAUUAUGUGAAAUUUAAUUUUAAAAAGAGUAAUUUACAACAAGUUACAAAUUAUAAAGUCUAGAUAAACGUGAGAAAAGUGUCUAGCGCAACAAUCAACAAAGCAAGUGAAUAAAUAUGCUAAAAAAUAAAUAAUACCAAGAAUAGUUUAUGAAGGAAAAACUCUUGAAGAACUCUUCAAGAGAAAACCUCCGAGUAUCUCGUGCCACCAAAUGAUCCACUGUGAAAAGAUUGAACUUACAAAUCUGGUCUAGACAUAAUUAAACCUCAUUAGACUCUGAUCUCCAAUCUAUAAAUAUCCAAAGAACUCGAUUGUGUACUCUAGCACCUGCUUCUGAACUUUUUUCGUGCGAAUCUCUAAGAACGAACUCGUUCUUAGUUAGAACUCCGGUUACCUCUAAUAUCAAUCAAUACUCUGAGGAUAUAUGGUAGAGGAUUUUAUGACGUUUUGUUUUUGGAUGAAUGUAAUUUUGAAAAUAAUCUUCUCUUGUUUUUUUCUUCUAUCUCAACACACAAUAAAAUGCAAUGGUUUCUAUUGUGUGUAAAUUAUAGUUCGCAGUUCCAAGUACUUUAGGAGUGUUUAGAGGUUGAAUUAGGAGAAAUAGGUUUUCCUUUCCUCGACGGGUUCUCGAGCU
rnacentral:lncRNA from 1 species